AGCAGCCGCGGUAAUUCCAGCUCCAAUAGCGUAUAUUAAAGUUGUCGCAGUUAAAAAGCUCGUAGUUGAAUUUCGGGAUCAAUACGUCGGUCGUGCUUCGGUACGUACUGGCGUAAUUGAUUUCUCCCUUCUGACGAACCAUGAUGUCAUUAACUUGGUGUCAUGGGAAAUCAGGACUGUUACUUUGAAAAAAUUAGAGUGUUUAAAGCAGGCUCACGCUUGAAUACAUUAGCAUGGAAUAAUGAAAUAGGACGUUCGACCCUAUUUUGUUGGUUUCUAGGAUCGACGUAAUGAUUAAUAGGGAUAGUUGGGGCAUUAGUAUUCAAUUGUCAGAGGUGAAAUUCUUGGAUUUAUUGAAGACUAACUACUGCGAAAGCAUUUGCCAAGGAUGUUUUCAUUAAUCAAAGAACGAAAGUUAGGGGAUCGAAGACGAUCAAGAUACCGUCGUAGUCUUAACCAUAAACUAUGCCGACUAGGGAUCGGAUGAUGUU
rnacentral:rRNA from 1 species